AGUAUAGGUGACCUUAAUAGUGCAAAACUGAAGUCCCGAGUGCAACUAAAGACACGGUCUGUAGAAGAUCACAGUUGCUGAGGUCAGUGUUGUGCAGUGUUCAAGAGCCUGAUGGUUGCUGG